UUUAUUUAAUAUGUCAAAGUUGGAUGCGUCGUUCUUUAACGUCGUCAUCCGAUGCUCGACUGCUGAGACUGCCACCGGAGCGAACACCAGUCUUCACUCCCGCAAAGUUCCUCGGAGCGAGGAAGGGAGGAGUUCGCCGGCGAUGGAGAAGAAUGUGGUGAUGAUUUGUGCAGCCGUGAGCUUCCUUGGCCUUCUCUCUGCUACGCUCGGCUUCGCUGCUGAGGCGACAAGGAUCAGGACCGAUGAAGGUUUUGGGUUUUCUUCACCUGACCUACCAUGUGGAAUCGGUUGCUCUGCCGCUCCACUGGAAAGCCAUCAUCUAUCGCGUUAGGGUUUUAUAGGGUUUUAAAGACGGGAUCUCGUUGAUUACGAGGCAUCUUUACUGUUUUCCGUGGUUUCUGAUGUACAAACAUCAACACUAGGUCAAUGCACAUAUCCAAGGAGCCCAUCAGUAGCUCUGGGUCUUAUAGCUGCAGUGGCUCUUAUGAUAGCUCAGGCCAUCAUAAGCACCCUAGCUGGGUGUAUAUGUUGCAAGAAAUAUCCAAAUCCAUCCGACACCAACUGGACAAUUGGGAUGAUCGCCUUUGUUGCUUCUUGGUAACUCACGUACUUUAUGUUACAUGGGUGUAUUUACCUAUAUGACAAUCUUAUUGAGCCACCCUUUAUUAUUGGCAAUAGAAUUUGGACAUGGAACUAUAAGCAAGCUACUUGUUUCUGUCAAUUGAUAAUCCAGUAUUGAUUCUUUCUAAUGGUUGUAUUUGUUAUGCACUUUUUGUUUUGGUCCAUCUUUUGCCGUUUUACAAGAUGAAACAUUGUCGUGCUUUUGGAGAAACUUGGGGCCUGAUGAGAUAUUAAGGAUCCCUGCUUCAAGUUCUACAUGUGUACGAGAAAAUAUACUAACACCCAUAUUUCUGAAGGGCACAUGAAAUAUCUCUAUUGUGAACCAUAAUUGUGCCCCGUGAUAAACUUUGGUGAGGAAACAUGAAGGCAGGUCAUAGUUCAUCAAUUCACAUGGUGAGGAAACAUUGGCUUAUGGUGAUCAGAUGUGAUGCCAACAACUAAGAUUAGACGUUCAAGAGGUUGUGGGAGAUGAUUAUCAAGCAUUGGAAGUUGGAACAAGACUGAUUGUUUGUUCGUGAAAGGAAGAUGCAGAAAAAAAGAGCUAUGGUUGGCAGCAAUGUUGUAAAGAUUAUAUUGGUAUCCCUUAUUAAAUCCUUAGAUAAGCAUAAAAGUAUUCUAAUUGGUUUGUUCUUGAAGAAGGAAUUGAAAGAUUGCUGGUCGCUUCAAAGGUUUUGAACAAUCAUGUACAGUCCAUCCCGUGAGAUUAACUAAUCCAUAUUUUUUCUAGUUGGGUCAGAUUAAUGAGGAGAAAUCACAUAUGUCGAACUCGAAAUGCAACAAAAUUCUUCAGAUCCACAAAACUGUUCUUAACUUCAUAUGUUGGCCGUCUUCUUGGGAGCAGACAUAUUAAUUUGUCAAACGGUGACUUUUAUUAUAGCCCUUGUUCUGUUGUUGAGUGGUGCUGCCCUAAACGAUAAAUGGGGGCAGGAAAGGGUGUACUUUGGCAAAUACUGCUACGUCAUCGAGUCUGGGGUAUUUACAGGAGGUGCAGUGUUAUCC